rnacentral:lncRNA from 10 species
UUUUCACUAAGUCUUUAGAGGUUUUAAGAUUCAAACACUAUGUAAGAAGAAUUAUGGUUUGAACUACGUAACAAUUACCUAGACAUCUUUUGGACUUCAGUUAACCUGGGAGCUCCAGGACACCUGGAGAUGGCAUACCUGGUGUCAAGCACUGCAGUAGAUUCUGAAGAUACAAAAAUAAAUAAAACAUUCCUGCCCUCAAGACACUUACACUCUUAUGUGUAACACUGUGUGACCAUUCAUCUGGGCCUUCCUGAGACAGUCUUGGUUUACACCUGUUUUCCCAAUGAGAGCAUCACUGCCUUUCCCACUAUUCUCCUGCAGAAGAGCAGGGGAAGGAAGCACCAGGGUCCAUCAUGGAGGAAGGGUGUUGCCCUGAACAGCUGACACACCCUCAGCAAUGAAGCUUAGUUUUGCUGGAACUUUUCAGGUGUGACAACUGAGAUUCAGAGAUGUCCAAUCUACUCACAUAAAUAGUUCUAGCCCAUGACAGACUGACGUAUCUAAAAAUCAUAGAUUAGGUAAAGAAUGUGUGCAAAUUAAAAUCCAUGCACAGAAACCUAUGUGAGAAGAAGGAGCGUUGUCAUCGCAGACGUUUAACUGGGCGGAAAGCGCGCGCCAGCUGCACGCAGGGAAACAGUUCUCAUUUUGUGUGCUCGGCUGACUGCACGUCCAGCCUCGGGCCAGCUCGAGACGGCCACAUUGCUCAGAUGGUGUAGCCUUCUACACACCUUGGAUAUAUGGUAUAGCCUAUUCCUGCUAGGCUACAAACUCGUGCAGCAUGUUAUGGUACUGAAUACUGCAGGCAAUUGUAGCACACUGGCCUGGUUGAAGAUGGCUGAGCGUAAAACAGAAUGCAAGUCAGCUGGAGCACGUACUACUGGAGGCAGAGCCCCAUGAGAAGGGGCCAAGAACCCGCACCCAUCAAAAUCAAGAAGAAAGGCUGAACCCGGAGAGAAAAGGGAGGACUGUUCACAGUAGCAAUGACAUGGAGUCAACCUAAAUGUCCAUCAAUGAUAGACUGGAUAAAGAAAAUGUGGUACAUAUACACCAUGGAAUACUAUGCAGCCAUAAAAAGGAAUGAGAUCAUGCCCUUUGCAGGGACAUGGAUGGAGCUGGAAGCUAUUAUCUUCAGCAAAAGAAUGCAGGAACAGAAAACCAAAUACUGGAUGUUCUCACGUGAACUGAUGUUGCCAUGCAGAUCCCUUGGUUGCUAUGAGAUGGUAACAUCACUCUGCCCCACCAUUGGCCAGUGCCUCCUCAGCUGCGGUGCCUCCCAGGCUGUGUGGUUCUCACGCGGGCCACUGACACAGAGCUGUUACUAUGGUGAACUUUACAAUUUCCUUUGAUUGGUGGAUUUCAGAAAUAGGCCAUCAGCGGAAUUCAUUAUAUUCAGCUAAGUAAAAAUGAAAAAUAAAUACUAUAACUUUCCCCUCAUCACUAACAUGAAGGAAACGUGACCCUUCAUGACAUAAUAAAUCGCUGUUCGGUAACUUAGGAUCCUUCAGGGGACUGAAGCGGGAUGAUCCUCCUAUGCCAAAUUUGGGUGGGAAAGAUAUUCCCUGUAGCUUUGAGUCGACUCUUCAGAGUUAAGGGCAGUGGGCCAACCAGAGUUGGAACUUCAGAGUUGGGAGGAGGUGUGGGAUGGGGCAUGCAUUGAAAUGUAAACUCUAUUGUCUCUGAAGUGAUGGGUGAUGCUGGGGGCCUGAGUGUGGAGGGCAGUUUUACAUCUCAGGACAAUGUUUUCUCAGAUGCUCUUCCAGAAAGAAAAGCCAGGAGUACUCCUGGCUGGAGGCGGCAUGCCUGAGGUCAGAGUCAAAGUAGGGUUUGUGCUGUCUGAAUCCUUUCUCCCACUCUCCCCAGCCUGGCUCAGCUUCUCAGCUUCUCAGGUGGAUUGGUGAGUCCUGGCCAAUUACGCUUCAGCUCAUCUCUACUCUCAGCAAAUAGGAAAAGGGAGUGAAGGACUGAGUUUUAACUCUUCUAAUUUCGUAACCUGACUCUCUAUAAGAAAAAGUAGGAGAAAGACUGAAGAACCCGAGAGAACAGGCCUCUGAGCCCAAGCCAAGCCAUCGCAUCCCCUGUGACUUGCCCGUAUAUAUGCCCAGAUGGCCUGAAGUAACUGAAGAAUCACAAAAGAAGUGAAUAUGCCUUGCCCCACCUUGACUGAUGACAUUCCACCACAAAAGAAGUGUAAAUGGCCGGUCCUUGCCUUAACUGAUGACAUUACCUUGUGAAAGUCCUUUUCCUGGCUCAUCCUGGCUCAAAAAGCACCCCCACUGAGCAUCUUGCGACUCCCACUCCUGCCCACUGAGCACCUUGUGACCCCCACUCCUGCCUGCCAGAGAACAAACCCCCUUUGACUGUAAUUUUCCUUUACCUACCCAAAUCCUAUAAAACGGCUCCACCCUUAUCUCCUUUUGCUGACUCUCUUUUCUGACUCAGCCCGCCUGCACCCAGGAGAUUAAAAGCUUUAUUGCUCACACAAAG